GUUAAAGGUUUUUCUGUUACAGCAAAAUUUUCAGGGGGAAGAUUUGCAAACCUCCUAGUAGUGAAUGGGUUCAGUUAUAAUUGAGAUUAUCGCUAAAUUGAGAAUUGUGCCAUGAGAAUAGGUGGCAUGGCAUUCACCCAACUCCAUUUUGUCUGAAAUUUGCACUUCCCUUUUCAGUUCUACACAGUUCCUGAAUUAGUGGAUAACCCCAUGCAUAGCCAUCUAAACAGUAUAAAAGAAUAGGUGAAGUAGAGAAUUAUACACAAGGACAAUACAUUUAAUAUCUGCAGG